AUUAUUAUUGUAGACAAUAGGAAAAAAUAAUUGUAUUGUCUAAAAAAAAGUGUUUUACAAAAAAGUGUCUAGAGUGAAUGUUUCCUUAUCAAAGAUAUACAUGAACGAACUAUGGCUAUGAUAAAAAAACACAAACAAUAACCUGAGAAAAUUAUCUCAUCGUUAAGUAUUUGUGUGUUCUUCGGGUAUCUCUUGGAACAAGCUUCGAGUUAUUGGUUCUUCACCGUAUCUUCCGGACUACGAUGUCGCCGAUGGUGCAGAGAAAGAGCCAGGUUGAAGCAGAUCGAGAGCCAAUAGACCAUCUUAAAAUUCAAGAAGCGGCACCUGCCUCUUUUGCCUACACGCCUUUCGAUAUAUCUCUUCAACGAGAUUGAAACAAGGAUAGAAGUGAUAAUUAAAAUAUAUUCCCAUGAACACAUGCCAUCAGUGCUCGUUUAAAUCAGCCUUGAGCAAAUAACGACGUAAAUACAAAAAUGGAAAAAAGAAAUCAAUCAGAUAAAACAACGCAACAUUAUCUUAAAAAAACACAUCACAGCAAGACUUCCUCUUCGAAAGAAAAAAAAAAAAUACCAAAAUCUGCGGCCAUCAGUACUGCAGCAUUAUAAAAUGUCUCCAAGAAGUGCAUGCAUUGCGUUUUCUUGCUUCCGCGACACUGCUAUCAGGCCGGCCUACGAUUUCCGUGGCUCGUAAACAUAACGCAAUUAGGCAAAGUGGCCAUUUAAAUCACCUCUGUAGCCGCGACUAAAGUUACCCGUUAUCUGUAUACUUUACGAGGGGAGUGAGUAACAGCGCGUUACUCGCGCGCGAGUAACCGCCGUGUUUCCAACCGUACACGGCCGUACACCACGAUAAACCUUAUCCACACUCGUCCGACUAUCGCCAACUUCUCUUGAGGCAUUCAAAAAAGAGGAGGAGAAAAAGCCACGCGGACCAUUUUCAAGCGUAACUUGCUCAUAAACUAGAAGGGUAAUCGUAGAAACAGAACAUUCCUUCAGGAAUGUUUGUUACAAGAAAGGAGUACGCGAACUCUUCGAAUGUGGAUGUGCUGUUUCGAUAACGAGUUACUCGUUGUUGUUGAGUAACACAUGAGAAAUUUCAAGAACCGUCUUUGAGGAA